rnacentral:rRNA from 1 species
AGUGAACGCUGGCGGUAGGCCUAACACAUGCAAGUCGAACGGCAGCACAGUAAGAGCUUGCUCUUACGGGUGGCGAGUGGCGGACGGGUGAGGAAUACAUCGGAAUCUACUUUUUCGUGGGGGAUAACGUAGGGAAACUUACGCUAAUACCGCAUACGACCUACGGGUGAAAGCAGGGGAUCUUCGGACCUUGCGCGAUUGAAUGAGCCGAUGUCGGAUUAGCGAGUUGGAGGGGUAAAGGCCCACCAAGGCGACGAUCCGUAGGUGGUCUGAGAGGAUGAUCAGCCACACUGGAACUGAGACACGGACCCGACUCCUACGGGAGGGAGCAGUGGGGAAUAUUGGACAAGGGGCGCAAGCCUGAUCCAGCCAUACCGCGUGGGUGAAGAAGGCCUUCGGGUUGUAAAGCCCUUUUGUUGGGAAAGAAAAGCAGCAGGUUAAUACCCCGCUGUUCUGACGGUACCCAAAGAAUAAGCACCGGCUAACUUCGUG